rfam:Triticum aestivum genome assembly, contig: Triticum_aestivum_CS42_TGACv1_scaffold_032287_1BL
CUUGUACUCCCUCCGUCCGUAAAUACUUGUCGGGAAAAUGGAUGUAUCUAGACGUAUUUUAUUUCUAGAUACAUUUAUUUUCAUCCAUUUUCGCGAUAAGUAAUUCCGGACGGAGGGAAUAGUAU